UGGGGAAUUUUGGACAAUGGACGCAAGUCUGAUCCAGCCAUGCCGCGUGCGGGAAGAAGGCCUUCGGGUUGUAAACCGCUUUUGUCAGGGAAGAAACGAGUUUCUCUAAUACAGAGACUUAAUGACGGUACCUGAAGAAUAAGCACCGGCUAACUACGUGCCAGCAGCCGCGGUAAUACGAAGGGUGCAAGCGUUACUCGGAAUUACUGGGCGUAAAGCGUGCGUAGGUGGUUGUUUAAGUCUGUCGUGAAAGCCCUGGGCUCAACCUGGGACCUGCAUUUGUGACUGUAUAGCUAGAGUACGGUAGAGGGGGAUGGAAUUCCGCGUGUAGCAGUGAAAUGCGUAGAUAUGCGGAGGAACACCGAUGGCGAAGGCAAUCCCCUGGGCCUGUACUGACGCUCAUGCACGAAAGCGUGGGGAGCAAACA
rnacentral:rRNA from 1 species